rnacentral:rRNA from 1 species
GGCUUCGGCCCUGGGGACAGCGGCGAACGGGUGAGUAACACGUGAGUAAUCUGCCCUCGACACCGGGAUAGCCCGGGGAAACCCGGAUUAAUACCGGAUAGCCUUUCGAGCUCUCGGGCUCGUCAGAAAAGGAUGGCUUCGGCUUUCGGUUGAGGAUGAGCUUGCGGCGGAUUAGCUUGUUGGUGGGGUAAUGGCUCACCAAGGCGACGACGGGUAGCCGGCCUGAGAGGGUGACCGGCCACACUGGGACUGAGACACGGCCCAGACUCCUACGGGAGGCAGCAGUGGGGAAUAUUGCACAAUGGGCGCAAGCCUGAUGCAGCGACGCCGCGUGAGGGAUGACGGCCUUCGGGUUGUAAACCUCUUUCAGUAGGGAAGAAGCGAAAGUGACGGUACCUGCAGAAGAAGCGCCGGCUAACUACGUGCCAGCAGCCGCGGUAAUACGUAGGGCGCAAGCGUUAUCCGGAAUUAUUGGGCGUAAAGAGCUCGUAGGCGGUUUGUCGCGUCUGCCGUGAAAGUCCGGGGCUCAACUCCGGAUCUGCGGUGGGUACGGGCAGACUAGAGUGAUGUAGGGGAGACUGGAAUUCCUGGUGUAGCGGUGAAAUGCGCAGAUAUCAGGAGGAACACCGAUGGCGAAGGCAGGUCUCUGGGCAUUA